rnacentral:rRNA from 1 species
UACGUAGGGGGCUAGCGUUGUCCGGAAUCAUUGGGCGUAAAGCGCGUGUAGGCGGUCCGGUAAGUCCGCUGUGAAAGUCGGGGGGCUCAACCCUGGGAUGCCGGUGGAUACUGUCGGGCUCGAGUCCGGAAGAGGAGUGUGGAAUUCCUGGUGUAGCGGUGAAAUGCGCAGAUAUCAGGAGGAACACCAAUGGCGAAGGCAGCACUCUGGGACGUGACUGACGCUGAGACGCGAAAGCGUGGGGAGCAAACAGG